UUGGAGGGCAAGUCUGGUGCCAGCAGCCGCGGUAAUUCCAGCUCCAAUAGCGUAUAUUAAAGUUGUUGUGGUUAAAAAGCUCGUAGUUGAACCUUGGGCCUGGCCGUCCGGUCCGCCUCACCGCGUGUACUGGCUCGGCCGGGCCUUUCCCUCUGUGGAACCCCAUGCCCUUCACUGGGCGUGGCGGGGAAACAGGACUUUUACUGUGAAAAAAUUAGAGUGCUCCAGGCAGGCCUAUGCUCGAAUACAUUAGCAUGGAAUAAUAGAAUAGGA
rnacentral:rRNA from 1 species